AUCCAGCUAACGAGUCCCAAAUAGGACGAAACGCGUGUCCUCGAU
rnacentral:hammerhead_ribozyme from 1 species